rfam:Dipodomys ordii contig_23325, whole genome shotgun sequence.
UGUGAAGUGGCUCAGUGGUAGAGUACUUGCCUAGCGUGCAUGAAGCCCUGGGUUCGAUUCCCUAGUACCACAA